GGGAGAGUUCCUGAGUGGCCAAAGGGGGCAGACUGUAAAUCUGUUGCUUUCAUGCUUCGAUGGUUCAAAUCCAUCCUCUCCCACCA
rnacentral:tRNA from 1 species